rnacentral:misc_RNA from 1 species
CUUCAAGCAGCGUAUAAAUAUAUCAACGCUAUAUAGUCUACAAUUCCUGUCACAUCCACUUGCUUCUGCUGCCACUCUUCCAUUUCGAAUAAUCGCUUCUACAACCUCACACCCAAAUGGGUUUUAUAGAGUCCGAAGAGAGGAGACUUAUGGAGAUGGAAGAAUUGAAGCGCAUGCUGGUUGCCUGCGCUGGCCUCAGCCGCAGAAAAGACCAAGAAGAUUUCCAAGGCUUGCGUUUUUCUUCCACAGGUUUCGAUAUCGACGACCUCGUUGGUCAGAAGCUUGUUUGCGUUACUAGCGGUGUUUCCUUCCUUGGCCUCGCCAUCGUCAACCGCCUCCUCUGCCGUGGGUACUCCGUCAGAAUAAUUGUCCACACUGAAGAGGACAUGGAGAAAUUGAGGGAGCUGGAAGUCUCCGGAGAGAUGAGGACAAGCAAUAACAGCAUCAAAGCAGUAAUGGCCAAACUAACUGAAAUUGAAAGCUUAUUGGAAGCAUUCGAGGGGUGUCGUGGAGUCUUUCACACCGCUGCUUUUACCGACCCUGCUGGCCUCUCUGGCUACACUAAAUCCAUGGCUGAAAUAGAAGUAAAGGCCUGUGAGAAUGUCAUCAUGGCAUGUUCAAGAACAACGUCUGUAAGGAAUUGUGUGCUCACAUCUUCACUUCUGGCCUGUUUAUGGCGAGAUGCCUCAACACAAGAUCUCUCCCCUGUGAUUAACCAUGAGUCCUGGAGUGAUGAAUCACUUUGUAUGGACAAGAAGCUCUGGUAUGCACUGGGUAAAUUGAGAGCAGAGAAGGCUGCCUGGAGAAUAGCAAAGGAUAAUGGUUUAAAAUUGGUCACCAUCUGUCCAGGCCUCAUUACAGGCCCAGACUUUUUUCCUAGAAAUCCGACAGCAACAAUUGCAUAUCUAAAAGGAGCUCAAGAAAUGUUUGCAGAUGGCCUGCUGGCAACUGUUGAUGUUAUGAAACUAGCAGAGGCACAUGCUUGUUUGUUGGAGGCUAUGAACAAGACAGCAUUUGGCAGGUACAUUUACUUUGAUCAUAUAAUUGAGAGAGAGGCUGAAGCAGAAAAAUUGGCAACAAAGAUGGGAAUGCCUGCAGACAAGAUAUGUGGAAAUGCACCCAUCAACGUUCAGGCUAGAUUUGAAUUAUCAAAUAAAAAGAUUUUAAACCUCAUGUCAAGAACACUCCGCAGUUGUUACAAUCAAAGUUAGAAACUUGGAAGUCACUGUUUUCAUGCUAUGCUGUUUAUUAGUGUUUGGAGGGAAAGAAAAUAAAAAAAAAUAAAAUAAAAUAAAAUAAAAAAAGAAGAUGAGCAUGGUUUUGUUUUGAUAUCAGUUGCUUUUCUUUUGAUGUGGAAAUAUAA